rnacentral:lncRNA from 12 species
UCUUGACUGUGGAUGCAGAAUGGUACUCCAGAAACACCGUCUGGACUCCAAUCCCAUCUCAGAUAAUGAUCACAAUGAAAAAGUAUUUGUUUACAUCAAGAAAAAUGAUUGUCCGUGGUUCAAAAUAUUGUUUCUUCAUAAGAGCAGAUCCCGUGGAACUGCCAUUCUUUGUGCCUUGCAAUAUGAAGAAGCAGCAAAAUAGCAGGAAGACAAAGUAUAAAUAUAAUAAAAGUAGUCCUGGCACGCUGCUGUGCGACAUGGAGCGAAGUACUUCAUGUGUCUGUAUGGCUUCCUCGAGUGGUAAAAUGGGUAUGAUGAUUCAAAGCUGCCUCAGAAUCACCAAUCGUGCUUUCUGCACAUUCUCAGAUAUGAUAUAUGACUAAGUACUAUUUAACUACUUGUAGACUUCAAGUAAAUUUCAUUGGUGUGGAUAUUUAUUUUUACCUCUUUAUUUAAAGAAAUUAUUCACCGAAUAGAUAAUAUAUUGUCAUGAGGAAAAUUGAAAAAGCUAAAAAGGAUGAACAAGGAAAGAUAAGCUUCCCUUCCAUACCUGUCAUCAAUCUGCAGUGUCCAUCCACUGAGAUUUUAAAGUGUUUUUAAAAGAUUUUAUUUAUUUAUUUAUUUGAGAGAGAGAGAGAGAGAGAGAGAGAAAGUGCAUGUGUGAGAAUAGAGGGAGGGCACAGGGGGAGAGAGAGGGAAAAGCAGACCUCCCCGCUGAGCAUGGAGCCUGAUACUGGGCUGGAUCCCAGGACCCAGG